rnacentral:rRNA from 1 species
AGAAAAUAGAUACCCCGGUAGUCCACGCCGUAAACGAUGGAUACUAGCUGUUCGGAGCAAUCUGAGUGGCUAAAGCGAAAAGUGAUAAGUAUCCCACCUGGGGAGUACGCACGCAAGUGUGAAACUCAAAGGAAUUGACGGGGGCCCGCACAAGCGGUGGAGCAUGUGGUUUAAUUCGAUGAUACGCGAGGAACCUUACCAGGGCUUAAAUGUAGAUUGACAGGACUGGAAACAGUUUUUCUUCGGACAAUUUACAAGGUGCUGCAUGGUUGUCGUCAGCUCGUGCCGUGAGGUGUCAGGUUAAGUCCUAUAACGAGCGCAACCCCUGUCGUUAGUUGCCAGCGAGUCAUGUCGGGAACUCUAACGAGACUGCCAGUGUAAACUGUGAGGAAGGUGGGGAUGACGUCAAAUCAUCACGGCCCUUACGUCCUGGGCCACACACGUGCUACAAUGGUAGGUACAGAGAGCAGCCACUGCGCGAGCAGGAGCGAAUCUAC